rnacentral:rRNA from 1 species
CAGUAGCCACGGGAAUACAGAGGGUGCGAGCGUUAAUCGGAUUUACUGGGCGUAAAGCGUGCGUAGGCGGCUUCUUAAGUCGGAUGUGAAAUCCCUGAGCUUAACUUAGGAAUUGCAUUCGAUACUGGAAAGCUAGAGUAUGGGAGAGGAUGGUAGAAUUCCAGGUGUAGCGGUGAAAUGCGUAGAGAUCUGGAGGAAUACCGAUGGCGAAGGCAGCCAUCUGGCCUAAUACUGACGCUGAGGUACGAAAGCAUGGGGAGCAAACAGGAUUAGAUACCCCUGUAGUCCCUGUCUCUUAUAA